rnacentral:rRNA from 1 species
UGGGGAAUAUUGGACAAUGGGGGAAACCCUGAUCCAGCGACGCCGCGUGGGUGAAGAAGGCCUGCGGGUUGUAAAGCCCUUUCGGUUGGGAAGAAAAGUUGCGACCUAACACGUCGCGACCUUGACGUAACCAACUAAAGAAGCACCGGCUAACUCUGUGCCAGCAGCCGCGGUAAUACAGAGGGUGCGAGCGUUAAUCGGAAUUACUGGGCGUAAAGCGCGCGUAGGCGGCUUGGCAAGUCGGGUGUGAAAUCCCAGGGCUUAACCUGGGAACUGCAUUUGUGACUGGCGGGCUAGAGUAUGGCAGAGGGGGGUAGAAUUCCACGUGUAGCAGUGAAAUGCGUAGAGAUGUGGAGGAAUACCGAUGGCGAAGGCAGCCCCCUGGGCCAAUACUGACGCUCAUGCAAGAAAGCGUGGGGAGCAAACA